rnacentral:misc_RNA from 1 species
UACUUUUAUUCAGAAAAGUAGAUUCAGACCUCCAAAUACAAUGCCAAACAAGCAUUAAAUAAGUUGCAAUUUGCAAGAUCAGAACAUAUGACAUAAAUAAAAUGAGUAACUUGCAGAACUCAGGCUUAUGUACUAAUACAUAAUUCAUAGAUACAAUUAAUGGCACUUGUAAAACUAACAUAGCAAUAUGCACAUGAAGUUCAAUCUGCAAAUAACAAGCUGAAGUAUCAGUCUUUCUUCUCUUUAUUUUUCCUUUGCACAGAGAGAAGGGGCAAAGAAGGAAGGGAUUUCUGCUACUCGAAGCAUAGAUGUCACACACCUAUAGGUUCAGUAGCUUUCUUCAGCCACGCCUUCUCAGAUUCAUCCAAAUAUGGAGCCAGAACGUCCCUACAUCUUGAAUGAUAGGUGUUCAGCCAAUCAAUCUCAUCGGGCAUUAGGAGGCUCACAUCAAUUAACUUUGUCUGAUACGGUGCCUAGAUAUCAGCAUAUCAUCAAAUUUUAAUAUGUAAGAAUCAGCAUAUAUAUAUAUAUAUAAAACAAACAUUAUAUGUUCAAAUAUUACAUCUAAGUGAGAGGAAAUUAGUCAUAUCCAUUAGACAGGGCUACGGUGUGUGUGGAAAGAAGCAGUAAAAGUAUAAUAUUUCAUAAAUAUUGCACUUUCUGCAAGCAGCCAUAGGAAGCAUUGCUUUAGGAUAUCAUUCACAUGUUACAACUGAGGAUAGCAGUUCUCCACUAAUCUAUUAAACACUUAAAGAUAGAACUUCACCUCCCUAAAGUUUUUCAGGACAGAAAGGACAGUGGUAAUCCAAAACUUUUUGACGUAUUAAAAGCUGGACAAUCAGUUUCAGAAACAUUUAAAGAAAUUUUACAUAUGAACAAGCUGCCACAUGGUUGAUCUUCAGGGUCUCCUUGCACGCAUGUGGAUUCUUUCUGAAUGCAAAGGAUCAAAAUGUUGGAGGCCCAAGCCAGUCCUCAAAUUACACUGCUUGAUAAUCUUUGUGCACCAUUCUAACUUGGACCAACAGUUUCUUUUACCCUCAAAUUAUAUGCAUAAUGACUAGUUUGACUCAGCUAAGUAGUAAUUAGUUCCAAAAUUGUACUUUUCUUACUUGGACUCGUUUUGAGUUCUUUCAUGCUGGAAUUCAUAUCCAAAGUCUUUCCAUGAAGAAACAAGUAAUCAGAAUGGAGAACACGGAGAACAUGAAAAGAAUUGACACACUAUCAGCAUAAGGCAUGAAAAAUAAAGUGCUCAACAUGUACAUUUAGAAGAUUUAGAUAAAUUCACAUGUGCUUACCCAUGUUAUGUGCUCAAAUGAUAAGUAGCCUUUGUCACCAAAAUUGAAUUUUGUAUUUCCUUCCUUAACAAUAAGCACAUUCUCCAAUCUUAUACCAAAGUUCCCAUCUUCAUAGUAUCCAGGUUCUGAGAAUUGCAAUGCCAACAAAGUAAAAUUUUCACAGUUCUAGCAUCAAUAUAUUUAUGAUUCUUGAAUACAGAAUUGGAAAAUGCACAUAUCUAUUCAAAACCACAUUUGAGCAUCAGUGAGAGACAGUACUAUAAUUGACAUAAGUUGAAAGCUGAGGUAAAACUUUUAAUGCAAUCUUCUUGAGCAUGAAUGUUCCGACGCGUAGAUUAAUAGGGACCCCAAAACUAGGUGGUCACUUAAUUAAACAAAUAAAUAUAGAAGGAGAAUUCAAUUAGCUAAAGCCAGCAUCUGGGAUACAAAUAUUUUGUUGUGUUCAACUAAUAAUUUUCUUCCACAACCAUAAUGAAGUCCAACAAAGACAAUGAUACUAACCAUCUGUUACAGUCAUGGAAGCUUGUAGCGGCACAUUACGAGCCUGUGGCCUGAAACUAAUCAAAUGGGGCCCUUCGUGAACAUUUAGAUAUGACCCAAUUCCAUGACCAGUACCAUGCCUAUAAUCAAGACCAUCCUUCCACAAAGGGAUUCGAGCAAGGAUGUCAAGGACAUGACCAUUAGUCCCAUUGGGAAACCGGGCAUUACCGAGGGCAAUGUGACCCUUGAGAACCGCAGUAUAGCAUGCUUUCUCGUGUGCUGAUGGCUUUCCAAAAUGGACUGUGCGAGUUAUGUCAGUUGUUCCAUCCAGAUACUUCAUCCACGCCAGCAACAGUUUUGAUUAGAAAAUAAAACAUCAUUAAGCAAAUGGCAUUUUGAAUGAAUGACACUUAAUUAGUCAAUUUGGCCCGAUUGUCAUAAGCCAAAUUAUUUACAUGUGACAAACCUGAGCUCCUGAAUCAAAUAGAUAGAUGCUAUUUGGAUCAAGCUCAGCACAAGUCUCAGCCUUUGGAGAAUAAUGGAUGAUAGCAGCAUUUGGACCAACUGAUGAAAUUGUAGGGAAACUUAAGCCUCUAAAAAACUGUGAUUAAAACAAAUAAGAAAGGAAUAUUAUCAUGUCAAACAACUUGUAUCCUAAUAUGAUGCUUCUUUAUCUGUCUCUUUCAAUAACAAGAAGAUUUUUUUUUUUUUGUCUAGUGCUAUGCCAUUUAAAAUACCUCUUUUGAUGCUCGAAAGCCUUCCAGCUUAUCACUUACAGUCACCUCUGUCAGUUUUCUAGUUUCCCUGUCACAGCACAUUCCGAUAAAAAAAAAAAAAGGAUCCGUUGCAUGUCAAGCUUUAAUCUGAUCAGAAAAGUAGUAGACGUAUUAAUGGGAUUGCAAUCUAGCAGUUUGCAUAAUGUGAAUAAUAAAGCAAUAGAGUGGCUUACAACUGCUUUUCCUUGGCAUAUAAUAUUAAGCAAACACUUUUUUUGAAAGGAAAAUCUUCAGGCAUCAGCUCAGUAAAUUUUAGUUGCAUCAUUCUUGGUACAAAAUUUGAUCUUAUCAUGCAUAACGGAUGAAAUAAAAGCGGCCAAACAGUACUAUUUCCAAUAAGCACAAACAAUAGCAAAGGACAAAGGCUUUUGAUCAAAGGUUCCAUAAUUUAGUUGGUGGGAUUCCUUUCAACUUCCCAAUAGCAAUAUUCUAAACAAGACAAAAAAAAAAUAUAGAAAAUUGAACUGCUUGCAAUGAAGCUUCUGUCUAUAAUAACAUUGCUUAUUUGCUAGAGUAUUUGAUAUAAUAUACAACGAGAUAGCUCUCACCAUGUCAUUUUGUCAUACUUCUUACCUCAACAACUGAACUCAUGUAACUUAAAUAUAAAUAUUACUGCGACACUAAACACAAUAUAUCUAAUAUAACCUACUUCAUAGAAUCAUCAUAUUAUAUCCAGAUUUCUGGUGCAAAAUUUCCAAUACAACAGUUAUCAAAUAACAAUUACAAAUUUAAACAAUGGCCAUAAGUUCAAAAUAUGACAAGAAACACCUACGAAUCCUUUUUCUUGUUUGCACUCUCCAACUCCAAGAAGUAACCAGAAGCCCCAUAAAUCUCCUGCAUCUGCUUAUCCAACCAGAAAAGAUAUUGCACAACAGCUGCACCAUCACGAAUGUGUGCCUUUUUUAAGCCAUCCAACUCAACAGGGUUCUUUAAAGCUUUUGCAAGGGCAAGAGGUGAUUGCUUAAGUAGCACUUUCUCAGAAUUCAACUUUGAAUAUAAAGCAUAGCAGCAUGAACCAGGGUCAACCCAUAUAAGGUCAGCUUUAUUGCUUUUUGAUUCAGCUAUACCAUUUCCCACAAUGUCAAUCUCACUAGAAUUGAUGUUUAUGCCAUUUGUAACUUCAGCAUGAUUUCCUUCGACUGCAGAUGUUGAGUCAAGCUGAUUAGAUGCAAGCAAGAGCACAUCUGAGCUCACUGCAGUGUACUCCCGAAGUUCAAUUCCAUUCUCCUUGAUAUAAGAGUUUACCUCAGAAGAGACCUUCCUUUUGUCCACAUAAAGGAAAGCUGAGUUGGAUGUUACAAUAGCAAAUGCAUGGACAACUGGACAGUAGGAUACAUCAUUUCCACGAAUAUUACACAACCAAGCAACCUCAUCAAGUGUUGUAAUAAUUAUACCAUAAGCUUUCUCAUUUUUUAAUUUUUCUCUCAGAUCCUUCAGCUUGUCUGCAACAGUACGACCUGUAUAUUCCAAUGGAUGGACAAUUACAGGAUUUGUUUCUGCUGGGGGUCGACUUUUCCAGACCUCAUCUACCAGAUUGGUUGUAGUUUGAAUCAGCUUCUGCUGCUUUUCAGCAAAAGCACACUCCCAUUUUUGUGCGGUGUCUACUGAUAUGCACCAUGGAUCAAUACCAACAGCCGCACAUGCAGGUAGAUUAUCAGCCAUCCAUGUAUCCACUGCAGGGUCCUCUCCUAUACGCAUGAGUGUCCACUGAUCACUAAGUUGUUGUGUUGCCUGCAAGAAAUAUCGUCCAUCUGUCCACAGCCGUGCUUCAUUCAUAGUAAUAAGCGCUAAACCUGCGCUUCCAGUGAACCCAGAAACAAAUUCGCGACGCUUGUCCCGCGCAGAAACGUACUCGCUCUGAUGAUAAUCUUCAGAGGGAACAACCAAGGCAUCGAGAGGGGGAGAGUGAGAAGCCAUAAAAGACCUCAAGGAAGCGAGUGUAUCAGCCAUGGCGAUGGUUUGUACCUGUAUUGAUCUACUUAACAGAUUGCGAAUUGAUUUAUGAAGCCUUGCUUCAGUGAAGAGAUGAGACAGAAAGAAGCCAAGUAGAAAAAUAGGCGUGUGAAUCUUGUAGGGUCUGUUUGGACGAUGCUGAGG